rnacentral:rRNA from 1 species
UACGAAGGGGGCAAGCGUUGUUCGGAUUCAUUGGGCGUAAAGGGUGCGUAGGCGGCGCGGUAAGUCGGGUGUGAAAUCUCGGAGCUUAACUCCGAAACUGCAUUCGAUACUGCCGUGCUUGAGGACUGGAGAGGAGACUGGAAUUUACGGUGUAGCGGUGAAAUGCGUAGAUAUCGUAAGGAAGACCAGUGGCGAAGGCGGGUCUCUGGACAGUUCCUGACGCUGAGGCACGAAGGUCAGGGGAGCAAACGGG